rnacentral:rRNA from 1 species
GAUGAACGCUGGCGGCGUGCCUAAUACAUGCAAGUCGAGCGAACAGACGAGGAGCUUGCUCCUCUGACGUUAGCGGCGGACGGGUGAGUAACACGUGGAUAACCUACCUAUAAGACUGGGAUAACUUCGGGAAACCGGAGCUAAUACCGGAUAACAUGUUGAACCGCAUGGUUCAACAGUGAAAGACGGUUUUGCUGUCACUUAUAGGUGGAUCCGCGUCGCAUUAGCUAGUUGGUAAGGUAACGGCUUACCAAGGCAACGAUGCGUAGCCGACCUGAGAGGGUGAUCGGCCACACUGGAACUGAGACACGGUCCAGACUCCUACGGGAGGCAGCAGUAGGGAAUCUUCCGCAAUGGGCGAAAGCCUGACGGAGCAACGCCGCGUGAGUGAAGAAGGUCUUCGGAUCGUAAAACUCUGUUAUUAGGGAAGAACAAAUGUGUAAGUAACUAUGCACGUCUUGACGGUACCUAAUCAGAAAGCCACGGCUAACUACGUG